GCAAUUCAAAAAUACACACACACAUCGGCACAUUAUCCCGGGUGCCCCGCCGCAGGACGGUCAGGGGUUGGGUAAUGGGAUGUGUGGAGGCGUAACC
rnacentral:sRNA from 1 species